UCGAGGGGUAUUGGUUUUCGGACCAGAGACCGGCGCACGGGUGCGUAACGCGUAUGCAAUCUACCUUUUACAGAGGGAUAGCCCAGAGAAAUUUGGAUUAAUACCUCAUAGUAUUGUUGAAUGGCAUCAUUUAAUAAUUAAAGUUCCAACGGUAAAAGAUGAGCAUGCGUCCCAUUAGCUAGAUGGUAAGGUAACGGCUUACCAUGGCGACGGUGGGUAGGGGUCCUGAGAGGGAGAUCCCCCACACUGGUACUGAGACACGGACCAGACUCCUACGGGAGGCAGCAGUGAGGAAUAUUGGUCAAUGGGCGCAAGCCUGAACCAGCCAUGCCGCGUGCAGGAUGAAGCAUCUAUGGUGUGUAAACUGCUUUUGUACGAGAAGAAACACUCCUACGUGUAGGAGCUUGACGGUAUCGUAAGAAUAAGGACCGGCUAACUCCGUGCCAGCAGCCGCGGUAAUACGGAGGGUCCAAGCGUUAUCCGGAAUCAUUGGGUUUAAAGGGUCCGUAGGCGGUUUUGUAAGUCAGUGGUGAAAGCCCAUCGCUCAACGGUGGAACGGCCAUUGAUACUGCAAAACUUGAAUUAUUGGGAAGUAACUAGAAUAUGUAGUGUAGCGGUGAAAUGCUUAGAUAUUACAUGGAAUACCAAUUGCGAAGGCAGGUUACUAUCAAUAUAUUGACGCUGAUGGACGAAAGCGUGGGGAGCGAACAGGAUUAGAUACCCUGGUAGUCCACGCCGUANACGAUGGAUACUAGCUGUUCGGUNGCAAGACUGAGUGGCUAAGCGAAAGUGAUAAGUA
rnacentral:rRNA from 1 species